rnacentral:miRNA from 1 species
AGGACUGUGUGUGGACAUCAAU